rnacentral:lncRNA from 10 species
AAACUGUGAAAAAUGAUUUAAUCAUAUAUUUUUAAAUGGUAACUGGUGGCAGCAGAAGAGGUAGACCAAGCAAUAAUAAAGGAUGAAAAAGUAGGCAGAGGGGAGGGGAAUAGGGGAGGCAACAGAGCAGAGAUGACUGGAUGGCCCAGACUCAGACUGGUGGACUACCAGUCUACCAUGGUAUCCUGAGUGACUGCACAGGCCAAUGAUUUGACUGCUAAGAGGGUUUCCUGUUCUUAUUUCCCUUUGGUACUUUAAAUAAGUCCUCAUUAACUGAGGCAACUUGAGCAUGGAAACUGAAAGAGCCAAACAUUCACAUUAGAUGAUGCUGGGCUACAUACAUUUACUUUACAGAGCUACAGACAGGUAGGGAAGAUAAGUACUGAGCAGGGAACAUGUCAUUCCUUUUCUUGUUCUAUAUCUAGGCAAGCUCUGGAGAAUCUGAGUCAGUGAGGAACACCCUGGAGAAUCUGAAAAAGUCUGCAAUGCUGAGAUGUGAUAGGCUUUAACACCCGACAAAGACCUAGGUAUGAAGUUUGACUCAUAGACCUUCAAGACACACUGGAACCUUUUUAAAAGCAAAGCUUGGGGCGACUCAAGGACUGUGUUAAGAUGUGGGAAAGUGGUUAGGUCAGACUGCUGACACUGGCUUCUCCUGGCUACAUAGACCCCUGGCAAUCAAAUUGCCAAGACGGGAGAGGGCAGUAGAACAGAGCAAUGUUGCCUAUUUCAAGUCUGGAGGGAAGUAAAACAGGCUUGAUGCUGGACAUGUGUUGCAUGAAUUGAUACAUCUUCAGAUUAGGUUCUUUUGAGAGAUGAGGUGACCUAAAUCACCAUGCACACUUGGGGAGGCUGUCACCUUCUCAGGGCCUUGGCUUUCUCCACAGUGAAGAGGGUCAAGUUUGGGCAAAGUUGGUCUCCAAACUCACAGCUGUAAUAGUCGGUGAGUUCACAGUGAAAAAUGUACCAAGUAGGCACCUUGGAUUACUUUAUCCAGGCUGAUGAUCUCCAGAGAGGAGAAUUCCAGAAAAAAUUCUCACUGGGCAGGGAUUACAGGUGAAAAUGAACUCCCCAGAAACAUGUCUUCAGCCAUGUCUUUCCAGGAUCCUCCUUCGAUGGUGUUAAACCCACUAGGUCCUCACUUUUACACCUAAAAUCUAAGCAUCUUAUUUUCUUCUGCAAUGCCGCUUGACUCCAAUACAAACUUGACAGUAGUUCCAAAUAGCCAGAAAACGGCACUUUCAAUUUUUCCAUCCUACAAGAUCUAAAUAAUUCUUGUCGUAAAAUGGGCAAAUGGUCUGAGGUGCCUGACGUCCAGGCAUUCUUUCACACAUCGGUCCCUCUCUAGUCUCUGUUCCCAAUGCAACUCAUCCCAAAUCUUCCUUCUUUCCCUCCCACCUGUCCCCUCAGUCCCAACCCCAAGCGUCGCUGAGUCUUUCUAAUCUUCCUUUUCUACAGACCAA